rnacentral:rRNA from 1 species
AGGCCUACGGGGCGCAGCAGUAGGGAAUUUUCGUCAAUGGGCGCAAGCCUGAACGAGCAAUGCCGCGUGAACGAGGAAGGUCUUCGGAUCGUAAAGUUCUGUUGAAGGGGAAAAAGAGCGGAGAGAGGAAAUGAACUCCGAUUGAUAUUACCCUUCGAGGAAGUCACGGCUAACUACGUGCCAGCAGCCGCGGUAAUACGUAGGUGGCGAGCGUUAUCCGGAAUGAUUGGGCGUAAAGGGUGCGUAGGCUGUUGUGUAAGUUGGGGGUGAAAUCCCACGGCUCAACCGUGGAACAGCCCUUGAUA